rnacentral:rRNA from 1 species
CCUACGGGUGGCUGCAGUGGGGAAUAUUGCACAAUGGGCGCAAGCCUGAUGCAGCAACGCCGCGUGCGGGAUGACGGCCUUCGGGUUGUAAACCGCUUUCAGCAGGGACGAAGCGCAAGUGACGGUACCUGCAGAAGAAGCACCGGCUAACUACGUGCCAGCAGCCGCGGUGAUACGUAGGGUGCGAGCGUUGUCCGGAUUUAUUGGGCGUAAAGCGCUUGUAGGCGGUUAGUAGCGUCGUAAGUGCCAACGCAGGGCUGAACCUGGGGCCUGCAGUCGAUACGGGCUGACUAGAGGAAGGUAGGGGAGAAUGGAAUUCCCGGUGGAGCGGUGGAAUGCGCAGAUAUCGGGAGGAACACCAGUGGCGAAGGCGGUUCUCUGGACCUUUCCUGACGCUGAGAAGCGAAAGCGUGGGGAGCAAACAGGAUUAGAUACCCUAGUAGUC